GUAGAGUUUGAUCCUGGCUCAGAGUGAACGCUGGCGGCAGGCCUAACACAUGCAAGUCGAACGGCAGCACAGAGGAGCUUGCUCCUUGGGUGGCGAGUGGCGGACGGGUGAGGAAUGCAUCGGAAUCUGCCUAUUUGUGGGGGAUAACGUAGGGAAACUUACGCUAAUACCGCAUACGUCCUACGGGAGAAAGUGGGGGACCUUCGGGCCUCACGCAGAUAGAUGAGCCGAUGCCGGAUUAGCUAGUUGGCGGGGUAAAGGCCCACCAAGGCGACGAUCCGUAGCUGGUCUGAGAGGAUGAUCAGCCACACUGGAACUGAGACACGGUCCAGACUCCUACGGGAGGCAGCAGUGGGGAAUAUUGGACAAUGGGCGCAAGCCUGAUCCAGCCAUGCCGCGUGUGUGAAGAAGGCCUUCGGGUUGUAAAGCACUUUUGUCCGGAAAGAAAAGCGCUCGAUUAAUACUCGGGUGUUAUGACGGUACCGGAAGAAUAAGCACCGGCUAACUUCGUGCCAGCAGCCGCGGUAAUACGAAGGGUGCAAGCGUUACUCGGAAUUACUGGGCGUAAAGCGUGCGUAGGUGGUUUGUUAAGUCUGAUGUGAAAGCCCUGGGCUCAACCUGGGAACUGCAUUGGAUACUGGCUUACUAGAGUGCGGUAGAGGGGUGUGGAAUUCCCGGUGUAGCAGUGAAAUGCGUAGAUAUCGGGAGGAACAUCUGUGGCGAAGGCGACACCCUGGACCAGCACUGACACUGAGGCACGAAAGCGUGGGGAGCAAACAGGAUUAGAUACCCUGGUAGUCCACGCCCUAAACGAUGCGAACUGGAUGUUGGGGGCAACUUGGCCCUCAGUAUCGAAGCUAACGCGUAAGUCGCCGCUGGA
rnacentral:rRNA from 1 species